rnacentral:rRNA from 1 species
AUUGAACGCUGGCGGCAGGCCUAACACAUGCAAGUCGAACGAGUGGCGGACGGGUGUGUAAUGUCUGGGAAACUGCCCGAUGGAGGGGGAUAACUACUGGAAACGGUAGCUAAUCCCGCAUACCAUCUGAUUUGCCCAGAUGGGAUUAGCUAGUAGGUGGGGUAACGGCUCACCUAGGCCACGAUCCCUAGCUGGUCUGAGAGGAUGACCAGCCACACGGGAACUGAGACAGGGUCCAGACUCCGACGGGAGGAAGCAGUGGGGAAUAUUGCACAAGGGGCGCAAGCCUGAUGAAGCCAUGCCGCGUGUAUGAAGAAGGCCUUCGGGUUGUAAAGUACUUUCAGCGAGGAGGCGUUACUAGCAGAAGAAGCACCGGCUAACUCCGUGCCAGCCGCCGCGGUAAUUC